UACGAAGGGGGCUAGCGUUGCUCGGAAUCACUGGGCGUAAAGCGCACGUAGGCGGAUUCUUAAGUCAGGGGUGAAAUCCUGGAGCUCAACUCCAGAACUGCCUUUGAUACUGAGGGUCUUGAGUUCGGGAGAGGUGAGUGGAACUGCGAGUGUAGAGGUGAAAUUCGUAGAUAUUCGCAAGAACACCAGUGGCGAAGGCGGCUCACUGGUCCGGUACUGACGCUGAGGUGCGAAAGCGUGGGGAGCAAACAGG
rnacentral:rRNA from 1 species